rnacentral:rRNA from 1 species
GAUGAACGCUGGCGGCGUGCCUAAUACAUGCAAGUCGAGCGAACGGACGAGAAGCUUGCUUCUCUGAUGUUAGCGGCGGACGGGUGAGUAACACGUGGAUAACCUACCUAUAAGACUGGGAUAACUUCGGGAAACCGGAGCUAAUACCGGAUAAUAUUUUGAUCUGCAUGGUUCAAAAGUAAAAGACGGUCUUGCUGUCACUUAUAGAUGGAUCCGCGCUGCAUUAGCUAGUUGGUAAGGUAACGGCUUACCAAGGCAACGAUGCAUAGCCGACCUGAGAGGGUGAUCGGCCACACUGGAACUGAGACACGGUCCAGACUCCUACGGGAGGCAGCAGUAGGGAAUCUUCCGCAAUGGGCGAAAGCCUGACGGAGCAACGCCGCGUGAGUGAUGAAGGUCUUCGGAUCGUAAAACUCUGUUAUUAGGGAAGAACAUAUGUGUAAGUAACUGUGCACAUCUUGACGGUACCUAAUCAGAAAGCCACGGCUAACUACGUGCCAGCAGCCGCGGUAAUACGUAGGUGGCAAGCGUUAUCCGGAAUUAUUGGGCGUAAAGCGCGCGUAGGCGGUUUUUUAAGUCUGAUGUGAAAGCCCACGGCUCAACCGUGGAGGGUCAUUGGAAACUGGAAAACUUGAGUGCAGAAGAGGAAAGUGGAAUUCCAUGUGUAGCGGUGAAAUGCGCAGAGAUAUGGAGGAACACCAGUGGCGAAGGCGACUUUCUGGUCUGUAACUGACGCUGAUGUGCGAAAGCGUGGGGAUCAAACAGGAUUAGAUACCCUGGUAGUCCACGCCGUAAACGAUGAGUGCUAAGUGUUAGGGGGUUUCCGCCCCUUAGUGCUGCAGCUAACGCAUUAAGCACUCCGCCUGGGGAGUACGACCGCAAGGUUGAAACUCAAAGGAAUUGACGGGGACCCGCACAAGCGGUGGAGCAUGUGGUUUAAUUCGAAGCAACGCGAAGAACCUUACCAAAUCUUGACAUCCUUUGACAACUCUAGAGAUAGAGCCUUCCCCUUCGGGGGACAAAGUGACAGGUGGUGCAUGGUUGUCGUCAGCUCGUGUCGUGAGAUGUUGGGUUAAGUCCCGCAACGAGCGCAACCCUUAAGCUUAGUUGCCAUCAUUAAGUUGGGCACUCUAAGUUGACUGCCGGUGACAAACCGGAGGAAGGUGGGGAUGACGUCAAAUCAUCAUGCCCCUUAUGAUUUGGGCUACACACGUGCUACAAUGGACAAUACAAAGGGCAGCGAAACCGCGAGGUCAAGCAAAUCCCAUAAAGUUGUUCUCAGUUCGGGUUGUAGUCUGCAACUCGACUACAUGAAGCUGGAAUCGCUAGUAAUCGUAGAUCAGCAUGCUACGGUGAAUACGUUCCCGGGUCU